CGCGGGGUGGAGCAGCCUGGUAGCUCGUCGGGCUCAUAACCCGAAGGUCGUCGAGCUGGGCGCCCCCGUUCGAAUCCGGCCCCCGCAACCA
rnacentral:tRNA from 1 species